rnacentral:rRNA from 1 species
AUUGAACGCUGGCGGCAGGCCUAACACAUGCAAGUCGAGCGGAUGACGGGAGCUUGCUCCUUGAUUCAGCGGCGGACGGGUGAGUAAUGCCUAGGAAUCUGCCUGGUAGUGGGGGACAACGUUUCGAAAGGAACGCUAAUACCGCAUACGUCCUACGGGAGAAAGCAGGGGACCUUCGGGCCUUGCGCUAUCAAAUGAGCCUAGGUCGGAUUAGCUAGUUGGUGGGGUAAUGGCUCACCAAGGCGACGAUCCGUAACUGGUCUGAGAGGAUGAUCAGUCACACUGGAACUGAGACACGGUCCAGACUCCUACGGGAGGCAGCAGUGGGGAAUAUUGGACAAUGGGCGAAAGCCUGAUCCAGCCAUGCCGCGUGUGUGAAGAAGGUCUUCGGAUUGUAAAGCACUUUAAGUUGGGAGGAAGGGCAGUAAGCUAAUACCUUGCUGUUUUGACGUUACCGACAGAAUAAGCACCGGCUAACUCUGUG